UUAAACAAAAAUACUACACUAAGGGCACUAGAUCCCAACAGUCUCACACAUGCAUUGAUGAAGUAGAUGAGCCAUAGUUCACAUUACCAUACUCUCUAUAUGUUUCCCCAUUCUCUUAGCCACCAGAGUCUUGGUAAAACAAAUAUACAAGGUUAUCCUCAGAUGUAGUUUUGACUACAUCCACUAUUCUAUCAAUUUCUAUCGUCUCUCUUAUGACACUUUCUAUUAAUGUGUUGUGUCUUCAUGUGGUUUCUUUGGUGUUUAGCUAUUUUUGCAUUG
rnacentral:pre_miRNA from 1 species